AGGCCGAAAGGCGUAGUCGAUGGGAAACAGGUUAAUAUUCCUGUACUUGGUGUUACUGCGAAGGGGGGACGGAGAAGGCUAUGUUAGCCGGGCGACGGUUGUCCCGGUUUAAGCAUGUAGGCUGGUUGUCCAGGCAAAUCCGGAUAAUCAAGGCUGAGGUGUGAUGACGAGGUACUACGGUGCUGAAGUAACAAAUGCCCUGCUUCCAGGAAAAGCCUCUAAGCAUCAGGUAACAUCAAAUCGUACCCCAAACCGACACAGGUGGUCAGGUAGAGAAUACCAAGGCGCUUGAGAGAACUCGGGUGAAGGAACUAGGCAAAAUGGUGCCGUAACUUCGGGAGAAGGCACGCUGGUGUGUAGGUGA
rnacentral:rRNA from 1 species